rnacentral:rRNA from 1 species
GAUGAACGCUGGCGGCGUGCCUAAUACAUGCAAGUCGAGCGAACGGACGAGAAGCUUGCUUCUCUGAUGUUAGCGGCGGACGGGUGAGUAACACGUGGAUAACCUACCUAUAAGACUGGGAUAACUUCGGGAAACCGUAGCUAAUACCGGAUAAUAUUUUGAACCGCAUGAUUCAAAAGUGAAAGACGGUCUUGCUGUCACUUAUAGAUGGAUCCGCGCUGCAUUAGCUAGUUGGUAAGGUAACGGCUUACCAAGGCAACGAUGCGUAGCCGACCUGAGAGGGUGAUCGGCCACACUGGAACUGAGACACGGUCCAGACUCCUACGGGAGGCAGCAGUAGGGAAUCUUCCGCAAUGGGCGAAAGCCUGACGGAGCAACGCCGCGUGAGUGAUGAAGGUCUUCGGAUCGUAAAACUCUGUUAUUAGGGAAGAACAUAUGUGUAAGUAACUGUGCACAUCUUGACGGUACCUAAUCAGAAAGCCACGGCUAACUACGUG